CCUACGGGAGGCAGCAGUGGGGAAUAUUGGGCAAUGGAGGCAACUCUGACCCAGCAACGCCGCGUGAAUGAUGAAGGUCUUCGGAUUGGAAAGUUCUGUGAUGGGGGAUGAACACAAUGACGGUACCCCAAUAGCAAGCCACGGCUAACUACGUGCCAGCAGCCGCGGUAAUACGUAGGUGGCAAGCGUUAUCCGGAAUGACGGGGCGUAAGGGGUGCGUAGGUGGUUUGGUAAGUUGGCGGUGUAAUUCCGGGGCUCAACCUCGGCCCUACCGCGAAAACUAUUAGGCUAGAGUGCAGGAGGGGUAAGUGGAAUUCCUAGUGUAGCGGUGGAAUGCGUAGAUAUUAGGAGGAACAUCGGGGGCGAAGGCGGCUUACUGGACUGUAACUGACGCUGAGGCACGAAAGCGUGGGGAGCAAACAGGAUUAGAUACCCGAGUAGUC
rnacentral:rRNA from 1 species